AAAAACUUGAUUGGGCUGAUAUGUUUUUCUUGACAACCCUCCCUCCUCAAUUCAGAAAAAAACAUAUCUUCCCCCACCUCCCUCAACCAUUCAGAGGAACAGUGGAACUAUAUGCAGUUGAACUGAAAAAACUGGCUUUAAAGAUCAUUGAUUUUCUAGCAAAAGGAUUGAACAUGGAUAAAGAAUACAUAAGGGAACUUUUUGGAGAAGGAUCGCAAUCAAUGAGGAUGAAUUACUAUCCACCAUGUCCA
rnacentral:misc_RNA from 1 species